UACGUAGGCCGCAAGCGUUGUUCGGAAUUACUGGGCGUAAAGAGUGUGUAGGCGGUGCUCUAAGUCUGUUGUGAAAUCUCCCGGCUUAACCGGGAGGGUGCGGCGGAAACUGGAGUGCUUGAGGGUGGGAGAGGUAAGCGGAAUUCCUGGUGUAGCGGUGAAAUGCGUAGAUAUCAGGAGGAACACCUGUGGUGUAGACAGCUUACUGGACCGCUUCUGACGCUGAGACACGAAAGCGUGGGUAGCAAACAGG
rnacentral:rRNA from 1 species